rnacentral:pre_miRNA from 1 species
UGCCUAAACGCCCUAAAGAAACUUACCUUAUAGGUAGAGCCAUCAAUGUUCUCAUGGCUCUACCUAUAAGGUAAGUUUCUUUAGGGCGUUUAGGC